rnacentral:tRNA from 1 species
CUCUCUGUAGCUUAGUUGGUUUAGAGCGCUGCACUGGAAUCGCAGAGUUGCAAGUUCGAUUCAUACCAGAUGGC